GCAUAACGCGAAGAACCUUACCCACCUUUGACAUGUACGGAAUCCUUUAGAGAUAGAGGAGUGCUCGAAAGAGAGCCGUAACACAGGUGCUGCAUGGCUGUCGUCAGCUCGUGUCGUGAGAUGUUGGGUUAAGUCCCGCAACGAGCGCAACCCUUGCCAUUAGUUGCUACAUUUAGUUGAGCACUCUAAUGGGACUGCCGGUGACAAACCGGAGGAAGGUGGGAUGACGUCAAGUCCUCAUGGCCCUUAUAGGUUGGGGCUACGACACGUCAUACAAUGGCUGGUACAAAGGGUUGCCAACCCGGCGAGGGGGAGCGUAAUCCCAUAAAGCCAGUCGUAGUCCGGAUCGCAGUCUGCAACUCGACUGCGUGAAGUCGGAAUCGCU
rnacentral:rRNA from 1 species